rnacentral:rRNA from 2 species
UCAGCGACUUAUAUUCUGUAGCAAGGUUAACCGAAUAGGGGAGCCGGAGGGAAACCGAGUCUUAACCGGGCGUUAAGUUGCAGGGUAUAGACCCGAAACCCGGUGAUCUAGCCAUGGGCAGGUUGAAGGUUGGGUAACACUAACUGGAGGACCGAACCGACUAAUGUUGAAAAAUUAGCGGAUGACCUGUGGCUGGGGGUGAAAGGCCAAUCAAACCGGGAGAUAGCUGGUUCUCCCCGAAAGCUAUUUAGGUAGCGCCUCGUGAAUUCAUCUCCGGGGGUAGAGCACUGUUUCGGCUAGGGGGCCAUCCCGGCUUACCAACCCGAUGCAAACUGCGAAUACCGGAGAAUGUUAUCACGGGAGACACACGGCGGGUGCUAACGUCCGUCGUGAAGAGGGAAACAACCCAGACCGCCAGCUAAGGUCCCAAAGUCAUGGUUAAGUGGGAAACGAUGUGGGAAGGCCCAGACAGCCAGGAUGUUGGCUUAGAAGCAGCCAUCAUUUAAAGAAAGCGUAAUAGCUCACUGGUCGAGUCGGCCUGCGCGGAAGAUGUAACGGGGCUAAACCAU